rnacentral:rRNA from 1 species
GAGGUCGCUUCGUAGGUGACCUGCGGAAGGAUCAUUA